rnacentral:rRNA from 1 species
UACGGAGGGUGCAAGCGUUAAUCGGAAUUACUGGGCGUAAAGAGCGCGCAGGCGGCUGGGCAAGUCCGAUGUGAAAGCUUCCGGCUUAACUGGAAAAUUGCAUCGGAAACUGCUCAGCUUGAAGGUGGGAGAGGGUAGCGGAAUUCCCGGUGUAGUGGUGAAAUGCGUAGAUAUCGGGAGGAACACCAGUGGCGAAGGCGGCUACCUGGCCCAUUCUUGACGCUGAGGCGCGAAAGCUAGGGGAGCAAACGGG